UUCAAGUGCAACUAUGAGUUUCCGUGCUCAACUUUAAUCGUCUAUCUUAUUUGAAUUUUUUAAUAAUUAAUAUUUUUGUUGUUAUUAGAUGAUAAAAUAUAAAUAGUACUUUACACGUGACUUAUGUUCUACAUUCAUUUUAUUGGACGGAGCGAGUAGCUCUCAUUGCCAUUGGU
rnacentral:pre_miRNA from 1 species